rfam:Oryza meridionalis cultivar OR44 (W2112) chromosome 1, whole genome shotgun sequence.
AAUAAGUGUAGCCAUGAGUUUCCGCGCACAACUUUAAUUGUCCAUCUUAUUUGAAAUUUUUUUAUAAUUGAUAUUUUUGUUGUUAUAAGAUGAUAAAGCAUGAAUAGUAUUUUACUCGUGACUUAUGUUUUUAAUUUUUUAAAAAAAAUUUUCAAAUAAGACGAAUGGUUAAAGUUGGGCGCGGAAAACCAUGGCUAUAUUUAUU